rnacentral:misc_RNA from 1 species
CGUAUCACGUUGCUGUCACAAUGGCGCUCCAACGCUUCUUCAUUGAAACGCCCCAUCACCCGGUCCCAGGAUUGGCAAUCUACGAUCAACCCAGUCAGGUUUACUUCCCAAGAGGAUUUGCUUCUGCCGAAUAUGAAGAUCGACCCGGUCGUACUCGUGAUGAAGACAUCGCCGCUGUAAGAGCGGUGUUCGAAGCUUUGGGUCGAGAAGCUAUCCGGGCCAAAGGGCAACUUCAAGUAAUCGUCUUGGAUCAUGCCGGACCAGAUGUAUGGGGCGAAAUUGAAGGGGUCACGCUCGC